ensembl:lncRNA
AUGCUUUUAUUUUGCAGGAUGAAGACAUUACAUGCAAUGCUACUGAUGGUGUUUGUUGCAUCAGUCUUUUCUAAACCAUUUGAUUCGCGCAGAAGAUUUGAUUCAUCAGACUCUGUGCGAUCUAGAUUCAGUUCAGAGGAAAAUGAUUCAAGCAGAGAAGACAGGGAGGAUUCACAGUCCGAUGAGAAAUCUGAAUCAAACGAGUCUAAAUCAAGUGACUCUGAAUCUUCGGAGGAAGAUAUCAGAGUUGUGUCAGGCACAUUUCCUCCAGCUAGCACAACAAGUCCCCUGAUCGCUGGAAAGACAACAACAACAACAGCUACCAUGACACAAGACAUCACACACUGUGUUACUGUGGAUCUGACAGCUAAUGUAUAAGAAGGGGUGAUGAUAAUAAUGUCAAUAUAAUACCUUGCAGUAAUACUGUUUAAUGUUUUCAUGCAAAACAAAGAAAAGUUGAAUGGUGUACAAUUAACUGUAUUUUACAGUAUAAAAUAAUGUUUAUGUACUGAUAAUGAUACUGAAUGAUGUAACUUUUAAAAUUAUUUACUUUUAAAUUGCAGGUCCCCAUUAUGGUUUUAAGUGUUCAUUCAGAAUAAAUAAUCUUUCAAGUGCA